rnacentral:lncRNA from 1 species
CAUCGAAGUUCGUAUAAUAUUGUAUUAAAAUGGAAUUCUAAGGUAGGUUUUGUUUUGUUUUCUAAUCUAUUGCAUUUGAUUUCAGCGAGUCAACAUGGCAGCUCCUUCGUUACGAAAUGUCAAUUUUGGAUUUGACGGUAGCUUACGAGAAAAUAUGUAAAUUAAAAAUCGUAAAUAUUGGGUUUGAGAAAUAAACAUAUUUUUUCCAGCGGUUAUUAACGAAAUAAUCAAUGCAAGCUAAUGAUUUAUUAAAAUAUUUGAGCUUUAUCUAACAAGGAGUAAAAAAGAACAGCUUCACACACGGCAUACUCACUCUCGCUUCAGUAUUUGAAUGAACUUAUUUGUCCUAUUAGAAUCGAAAUAAUUCAUGGAAGCCAUAUAUUUGUUGUAAAUUUACACAUGGCCUGGGCCGUGAUAUUCGUUAAUUUUAUCCCUCGCUAACGCUCAGGAUAAAAUUCGAAUAUCACGGCCCAGGCCAUGUGUAAAUUUCCAACAAAUAUAUGGCUUCCACGAAUUAUU